AGCUGUGCCAGAGCAGUGCUGGAGGAGUGGCAAUUCCCAGCACUUGCUGAUCUCAUGGAUUUGGCAUUUCAUGAGACAGAACACGAGGUCUCUGCUGGACUUGGGAAGGCACACUCACAUUGGUGGUAUUGACUAACAGGUACAUCAAUCCCUCUUAGAAAUGUAUGCCUCAAGAGAAAGAUUCUCAGCUUCCUCCUAACCUGGUGCUCGGGAUGGAAACUCUUCCAUUGUCACUUUGAUGUCACAGAUGUUUGUGGCCCUCAAGGAAUCUGGCAAAGGCUGUGGCUUCUGCUCUGCAUCCUGUCUGGUCAACUUAGAGUCAAUCCCCAUAACACCCACUCCAACAAAAGACUUCUCAGGCCCAUAGCAAAAUGUUGCUGGCACUGAGUUGAAGACUCUGUUACAAAAUCAGAGGAUUUCUUGAAAAAAA